CCCCUAGUUCCCCGGUUCCCCGUAACAGUCGAGCGGUAACAGGGGUAGCUUGCUACCCGCUGACGAGCGGCGGACGGGUGAGUAAUGCAUAGGAAUCUGCCCGAUAGUGGGGGAUAACCUGGGGAAACCCAGGCUAAUACCGCAUACGUCCUACGGGAGAAAGGGGGCUCCGGCUCCCGCUAUUGGAUGAGCCUAUGUCGGAUUAGCUAGUUGGUGAGGUAAUGGCUCACCAAGGCAACGAUCCGUAGCUGGUCUGAGAGGAUGAUCAGCCACAUCGGGACUGAGACACGGCCCGAACUCCUACGGGAGGCAGCAGUGGGGAAUAUUGGACAAUGGGCGAAAGCCUGAUCCAGCCAUGCCGCGUGUGUGAAGAAGGCCCUCGGGUUGUAAAGCACUUUCAGCGAGGAAGAACGCCUAGUGGUUAAUACCCAUUAGGAAAGACAUCACUCGCAGAAGAAGCACCGGCUAACUCCGUGCCAGCAGCCGCGGUAAUACGGAGGGUGCAAGCGUUAAUCGGAAUUACUGGGCGUAAAGCGCGCGUAGGUGGCUUGAUAUUUUUGUUGUGAAAGCCCCGGGCUCAACCUGGGAACGGCAUCCGGAACUGUCAAGCUAGAGUGCAGGAGAGGAAGGUAGAAUUCCCGGUGUAGCGGUGAAAUGCGUAGAGAUCGGGAGGAAUACCAGUGGCGAAGGCGGCCUUCUGGACUGACACUGACACUGAGGUGCGAAAGCGUGGGUAGCAAACAGGAUUAGAUACCCUGGUAGUCCACGCCGUAAACGAUGUCGACCAGCCGUUGGGUGCCUAGCGCACUUUGUGGCGAAGUUAACGCGAUAAGUCGACCGCCUGGGGAGUACGGCCGCAAGGUUAAAACUCAAAUGAAUUGACGGGGGCCCGCACAAGCGGUGGAGCAUGUGGUUUAAUUCGAUGCAACGCGAAGAACCUUACCUACUCUUGACAUCCUGCGAACUUGUGAGAGAUCACUUGGUGCCUUUCGGGAAACGCAGAGACAGGUGCUGCAUGGCUGUCGUCAGCUCGUGUUGUGAAAUGUUGGGCUAAGUCCCGUAACGAGCGCCAACCCUUGUUCCAUAAUUUGCCAGCGGAGUAUGUCGGGCACUCUAAGGAGACUGCUGAUGAACAACCCGGGAGGAAGGGUGGGAGAACGAACGCUUCC
rnacentral:rRNA from 1 species